GAAGACUUCAUUGGAUUUGCCAAGUACGUAUACAGCCAUUGUCACAGGGGCAGCACCUAUUUCUACCCCCAGCACCAAGACCAAAAUCUUCAUCUAACUGGUGGGGAUGCUGGGCAAAGGGUAGAGCCAUCUAGGAAUGCUUUGAAGCUUUUCUGUGCUAACUGUGACCUCCGUCACAGUGUUCUCACCUAGCAUGUUGUCUGUGGACAUCACAGGGACAAAAUGUGUGUUCUGUGGCCAUUCUCCAGGAAGAGGAAGGCCAGGCAGGUUCAUCCCUGCAGGACUUCUCAGAGCUUUUCAUAGUCAGAGCCCCUUUCAGGCUCUGCCUUUCACAGACUGUACAUAUAUACAUACACACUGUAGAUUUAAAACUAGAAACUGGGGCUGGGAUGUCUCCAUUGUGAGCAUGCACAAGAUCCUGGAUGAGACCACAGGACCAAUACAACAGAUACCAUACCUGGUUGUAUUGGUCCUGAGUCAAUCAUCAGCUCUGGACCAGCUGGGCAAACUUGGGUGCUACUGGGGGUGUUCUGGUGGCUCAUGCAGGUUUUCUUAGCUUUGGUCAAUAGGACACUGCCGCGCACCAAAAGACAUCUCUCUUGUAUCCAUCUACACUACUGGUGUACUUUCAGGCCAGGUCUACCUGCCCACAGGAAGUCCCUGUGCAAAGACUCACUGUUAAGAUAGGUCUGCUCAAGGCUCUUGGAAGUCCUGAGGGUGGCUGUGGGGCCUGACCUUAGGGUUUU
rnacentral:lncRNA from 1 species